rnacentral:rRNA from 1 species
UACGUAGGGUGCGAGCGUUAAUCGGAAUUACUGGGCGUAAAGCGUGCGCAGGCGGUUUUGUAAGUCAGAUGUGAAAUCCCCGGGCUUAACCUGGGAACUGCGUUUGAAACUACAAGGCUAGAGUGUGGCAGAGGGGGGUGGAAUUCCACGUGUAGCAGUGAAAUGCGUAGAUAUCGGGAGGAACAUCAGUGGCGAAGGCGGCUGCCUGGCCCAAUACUGACGCUCAUGCACGAAAGCGUGGGGAGCAAACAGG